UUGAACGCUGGCGGCAUGCCUUACACAUGCAAGUCGAACGGCAGCGCGGGAGCAAUCCUGGCGGCGAGUGGCGAACGGGUGAGUAAUACAUCGGAACGUGCCCAAUCGUGGGGGAUAACGCAGCGAAAGCUGUGCUAAUACCGCAUAAGAUCUACGGAUGAAAGCAGGGGAUCGCAAGACCUUGCGCGAAUGGAGCGGCCGAUGGCAGAUUAGGUAGUUGGUGAGGUAAAGGCUCACCAAGCCUUCGAUCUGUAGCUGGUCUGAGAGGACGACCAGCCACACUGGGACUGAGACACGGCCCAGACUCCUACGGGAGGCAGCAGUGGGGAAUUUUGGACAAUGGGCGCAAGCCUGAUCCAGCCAUGCCGCGUGCAGGAUGAAGGCCUUCGGGUUGUAAACUGCUUUUGUACGGAACGAAAAGUCUCUUUCUAAUAAAGAGGGAUCAUGACGGUACCGUAAGAAUAAGCACCGGCUAACUACGUGCCAGCAGCCGCGGUAAUACGUAGGGUGCAAGCGUUAAUCGGAAUUACUGGGCGUAAAGCGUGCGCAGGCGGUUAUGUAAGACAGUUGUGAAAUCCCCGGGCUCAACCUGGGAACUGCAUCUGUGACUGCAUAGCUAGAGUACGGUAGAGGGGGAUGGAAUUCCGCGUGUAGCAGUGAAAUGCGUAGAUAUGCGGAGGAACACCGAUGGCGAAGGCAAUCCCCUGGACCUGCACUGACGCUCAUGCACGAAAGCGUGGGGAGCAAACAGGAUUAGAUACCCCGGUAGUCCACGCCCUAAACGAUGUCAACUGGUUGUUGGGUCUUCACUGACUCAGUAACGAAGCUAACGCGUGAAGUUGACCGCCUGGGGAGUACGGCCGCAAGGUUGAAACUCAAAGGAAUUGACGGGGACCCGCACAAGCGGUGGAUGAUGUGGUUUAAUUCGAUGCAACGCGAAAAACCUUACCCACCUUUGACAUGUACGGAAUUUGCCAGAGAUGGCUCAGUGCUCGAAAGAGAACCGUAACACAGGUGCUGCAUGGCUGUCGUCAGCUCGUGUCGUGAGAUGUUGGGUUAAGUCCCGCAACGAGCGCAACCCUUGUCAUUAGUUGCUACAUUCAGUUGGGCACUCUAGUGAGACUGCCGGUGACAAACCGGAGGAAGGUGGGGAUGACGUCAAGUCCUCAUGGCCCUUAUAGGUGGGGCUACACACGUCAUACAAUGGCUGGUACAAAGGGUUGCCAACCCGCGAGGGGGAGCUAAUCCCAUAAAACCAGUCGUAGUCCGGAUCGCAGUCUGCAACUCGACUGCGUGAAGUCGGAAUCGCUAGUAAUCGCGGAUCAGAAUGUCACGGUGAAUACGUUCCCGGGUCUUGUACACACCGCCCGUCACACCAUGGGAGCGGGUUCUGCCAGAAGUAGUUAGCCUAACCGCAAGGAGGGCGAUUACCACGGCAGGGUUCGUGACUGGGGUG
rnacentral:rRNA from 1 species